rnacentral:rRNA from 1 species
CACAGAUUCACUUCGGUGAUGACGUUGGGUAACGCGAGCGGCGGAUGGGUGAGUAACAACGUGGGGAACCGUAGCCCCACUAGUCUGGGAGUACCACUUGGAAACAGGUGCUAAUACCGGAUAAGAAAGACAGAUCGCAUGAUCAGCUUAUAAAAGGACGGCGUAAGCUGUCGCUAUGGGAUGGCCCCGCGGUGCAUUAGCUAGUUGGUAGGGUAACGGCCUACCAAGGCAAUGAUGCAUAGCCGAGUUGAGAGACUUCGAUCGGCCACAUUGGGACGUGAGACACGGCCCAAACUUACCCUACGGGAGGCAGCAGUAGGGAAUCUUCCACAAUGGACGAAAGUCUGAUGGAGCAACGCCGCGUGAGUGAAGAAGGUUUUCGGAUCGUAAAGCUCUGUUGUUGGUGAAGAAGGAUAGAGGUAGUAACUGGCCUUUAUUUGACGGUAAUCAACCAGAAAGUCACGGCUAACUACGUGCCAGCAGCCGCGGUAA